GCUUGUCUCAAAGAUUAAGCCAUGCAUGUCUCAGCAUAAGCUUCAACACGGUGAAACUGCAAAUGGCUCAUUAAAGCAGUUACAAUUUAUUUGAUGGUCACUGUUACAUGGAUAACUGUGGUAAUUCUAGAGCUAAUACAUGCAUCAAAACCUGACUCUUGGGAAGGGUUGUGUUUAUUAGAUACAAAACCAAUGCCUCGUGCUUUUGGUGAGUCAUGAUAACUGCGCGGAUCGCAUGGCCUUGCGCCGGCGACGCUUCAUUCAAAUUUCUGCCCUAUCAACUUUCGAUGGUAAGAUAGAGGCUUACCAUGGUGUUAACGGGUAACGGGGAAUUGGGGUUCGAUUCCGGAGAGGGAGCCUGAGAAAUGGCUACCACUUCCAAGGAAGGCAGCA
rnacentral:rRNA from 1 species